CGUCAGGAUGAACGGCUGGCGGCAGGCUAAUACAUGCAAGUCGGACGGUAACAUGCGGGUAGCAAUACCUGUGAUGACGAGUGGCGGAUGGGUGCGUAACGCGUAUGCAACCUGCCCCUUAUUGGAGGAUAACGUUGUGAAAACGGCGAUAAUAUUCCAUGUGUACCCUGGGGGGCAUCCCUUGGGGUAUAAAGAUUCAUUGAUAAGGGAUGGGCAUGCGUAUCAUUAGGUAGUUGGCGGGGUAACGGCCCACCAAGCCGACGAUGAUUAGGGGUCCUGAGAGGGCAACCCCCCACACUGGAACUGAGACACGGUCCAGACUCCUACGGGAGGCAGCAGUAGGGAGUAUUGGGCAAUGGAGGCAACUCUGACCCAGCCAUGCCGCGUGAAAAGGAAGGCGGUCCUAUGGAUUGUAAACUUCUUUUGUUGCAGAGUAAAGGCGGGGACGCGUCCCCGUGUGAGAGUAUGCGACGAAUAAGCAUCGGCUAACUCCGUGCCAGCAGCGGC
rnacentral:rRNA from 1 species